ACCAUCGAGGGGCCCGAGCUGGCGGCAAU
rnacentral:sRNA from 1 species